rnacentral:rRNA from 1 species
UACGGAGGGUGCAAGCGUUAUCCGGAUUCACUGGGUUUAAAGGGAGCGUAGGUGGGAGUGAAGUCAGUGGUGAAAUCUCCAGGCUUAACUGGAAACUGCCGUUGAUACUAUUCAUUCUUGAAUAUUCUGGAGGUAAGCGGAAUAUGUCAUGUAGCGGUGAAAUGCUUAGAUAUGACAUAGAACACCAAUAGCGAAGGCAGCUUCUACGAUAAUUAUGACAUGAGGCACGAAAGCGUGGGGAUCAAA